UCAGACUCCUUGGAUCGAUUUCCGGACAAACCAAAUGAAUGCUUACAGCUCUUACUGCUCCUCUUGGACUUAUAAGUUCACGACAAGUUAGUACACUGAAAGCAAUGAUCUGAAUGAACAUGGGAAUCUGAAGGCUGAAGUAUUUAAGCAUCAUCCAUCUGUACUUAUUCUGCUGAAGUGAUCAUGCUGAACGAGAAGAAUCAAGCAGCCAUCAGUUACUGCACAUGGUUAUAUUAUACAACGCAGUACUAACUCUGUACACUUCUAAGUGAACGUGUGUGAAAGCUAGACUUCCCUCUGCUAUAUAUCAAGGCAGAACUGGAAGCAUCAUCUGUUCUCUCUCAAAUCUGAUUGGAGGAUUGCAUUAUUCCAUUGUAAUACACAGAUCUGUUUUUGUAGUUAUUAUUCAGCUUUAGCAAAGGAGAAUAUUGUGUGCACUACGUCUACAGGGAGAGGCUCAAUCUAAAUCUUUGGGAGAGUUAGUGCUGAUGGUUAUCUAUAUUUGAUUUGCUUUGUUGUAAUUGUCUAACACUUUUUAUUAUCAUUUAUUUUCCAUAAAAAAUGAUCACAGUAAUAAAAAUUGACAGCCUUAGAAAAGGUUUCAAUAGAAGCUUUUCGUCUAAGCGCCAUAUAAAAGAAUAAUUAUGGAUAAGUAAACCUGUCAAAAAAUAAAUUAAAAAAAUGGAAGGGAUAAGAGCACUUAAAAAGAUUGAAAACCACAAAUGUAUUUUAUUUGUAACAAACUCAUUGAAUAUUAGGCAUCAAUACAAAUGCUACAACUUCUCUUUACUGCACAAACAUCUUCCCAUAACAUGUGCGAAAUGAACAUUCCAGAGGGGUGCUACCUUAUCUUGGUUGCGGAUCCUGCACAAUUAAUCUUAGAUGUUUGCAGACACCCUAGCACUUGGUCACAUUACUGUACAUUGAGUCUCCUUAUC